AAUUAAUGAAACUACAAUCCAUAAUAAUUAAAUUUGAUAGAAAAUAUAAUGAAGUACCAAAUGUCUAGUCAUUAAAUCAAAAUUACCAAGGCAAAAGUUCCAAGUAACUUGAAAAAAAAAGAAGAUAAACUGAUGGUAAAUAAGCCUUGUAUAUCGAGCCACUUAGCACUUAACCUCCUUCAAGGCAUAUGCAAAGUACAGAAAUGUAGGAUCAGUGGCACCGUCCUUGUAGUAGGCUAAGACCAAGCAACCAUCAUCAUGCAUGCUCUCCCC
rnacentral:lncRNA from 1 species